rnacentral:rRNA from 1 species
UUGAAAGGGAAACGAUUGAAGUNNGUCGNACUGAGGGGGAAUCAACUUCUCGAGUGCUUGUUUUGAAUGACGUUGAGCUUCACGGCCUUCGUUGCUUGCGUUAUGGUGCUUUUGAGGUGUACUUUUCCGUAUGGUAAGUCAACAUCGAUUUUGAUCGUCAUAAAAUGAUCGGAGGAAUGUGGCUCUGAUCUUGUAUUGGAGUGUUAUAGCCUUUGAUAGAUGUGACGAUUGGGAUCGAGGAUUGCAACGAAUACCCUUCUGGGCUAUCCGUCUGACCUCUGAAAGUCGCUCGGGUGUCGAAAGCGUGCUUAUGACAUUCUAGUUUGGCGGUCAAAAGGUUAGAACGUGAUUACAUUCGUUAAGGAUGUUGACGUA